AACGAACGCUGGCGGCAGGCCUAACACAUGCAAGUCGAACGCCCUAGCAAUAGGGAGUGGCGCACGGGUGAGUAACGCGUGGGAACGUGCCUUUCAGUCUGGAAUAACUGCGGGAAACUGCAGCUAAUACCGGAUAUUCUCUACGGAGGAAAGAUUUAUCGCUGAAAGAUCGGCCCGCGUUAGAUUAGGUAGUUGGUGGGGUAAUGGCCUACCAAGCCUACGAUCUAUAGCUGGUCUGAGAGGAUGAUCAGCCACACUGGAACUGAGACACGGUCCAGACUCCUACGGGAGGCAGCAGUGGGGAAUAUUGGACAAUGGACGCAAGUCUGAUCCAGCCAUGCCGCGUGCGGGAAGAAGGCCUUCGGGUUGUAAACCGCUUUUGUCAGGGAAGAAACGCUCUGGGUUAAUACCUCGGGGUAAUGACGGUACCUGAAGAAUAAGCACCGGCUAACUACGUGCCAGCCGCCGCCGUAA
rnacentral:rRNA from 1 species